rnacentral:tRNA from 2 species
AAAGAAAUAUCCAAUAAAAGCUUCUAACUUUUUAUAAAGCAUUAAUAUGUUUAU